GGCCGGUUAGCUCAGCUGGUCAGAGCAUAGUGCUAAUAAUGCCAAGGUCAUGGGUUCGAACCCCAUAAAGCCCA
rnacentral:tRNA from 1 species